GAAGAAGCAAAAUGAUGAGAAACACUUGCAUGAGCCGAAGUGAAUGAGUUGUGUGUGUGUGUGCAGUCGUGUGUGGUUGUUUGAGAGAACUGUGUGUCUUAUAAUUGGGCAGUGAUAGCUAAACUGAUAAGAUCUGAUUGCUUC
ensembl:snoRNA